UUUGUGAUGAUGCAAUCUCCCCGCGGCUAGACGGAAAGACCCCAUGAACCUUUACUGUAGCUUUGCAUUGGACUUUGAACCGAUCUGUGUAGGAUAGGUGGGAGGCUUUUAAACCGGGACGCUAGUUUCGGUGGAGCCGUCCUUGAAAUACCACCCUGGUUUGUUUGAGGUUCUAACCUUGGCCCGUGAAUCCGGGUCGGGGACAGUGCAUGGUAGGCAGUUUGACUGGGGCGGUCUCCUCCCAAAGUGUAACGGAGGAGUUCGAAGGUACGCUUGGUACGGUCGGACAUCGUACCUAAAGUGCAAUGGCAAAAGCGUGCUUAACUGCGAGACCGACAAGUCGAGCAGGUGCGAAAGCAGGACAUAGUGAUCCGGUGGUUCUGUAUGGAAGGGCCAUCGCUCAACGGAUAAAAGGUACUCUGGGGAUAACAGGCUGAUACCGCCCAAGAG
rnacentral:rRNA from 2 species